AACGAACGCUGGCGGCAUGCCUAACACAUGCAAGUCGAACGAGAGCUUCGGGUCUAGUGGCGCACGGGUGCGUAACGCGUGGGAAUCUGACCUUUGGCUCGGAAUCACAGUCGGAAACGUCUGCUAACACCGGAUGACGACGCAAGUCCAUAGAUGUAUCGCCAGAGGAUGAGCCCGCGUAGGAUUAGCUAGUUGGUGUGGUAAAGGCGCACCAAGGCGACGAUCCUUAGCCGGUCUGAGAGGAUGAUCAGCCACACUGGGACCGAGACACGGCCCAGACUCCUACGGGAGGCAGCAGUGGGGAAUAUUGGACAAUGGGCGAAAGCCUGAUCCAGCAAUGCCGCGUGAGUGAUGAAGGCCUUAGGGUUGUAAAGCUCUUUUACCCGGGAUGAUAAUGACAGUACCGGGAGAAUAAGCUCCGGCUAACUCCGUGCCAGCCGCCGCCGUAA
rnacentral:rRNA from 1 species